AGUGAACGCUGGCGGUAGGCCUAACACAUGCCAGUCGAACGGCAGCACAGUAAGAGCUUGCUCUUACGGGUGGCGAGUGGCGGACGGGUGAGGAAUACAUCGGAAUCUACUUUUUCGUGGGGGAUAACGUAGGGAAACUUACGCUAAUACCGCAUACGACCUACGGGUGAAAGCAGGGGAUCUUCGGACCUUUCGCGAUUGAAUGAGCCGAUGUCGGAUUAGCUAGUUGGCGGGGUAAAGGCCCACCAAGGCGACGAUCCGUAGCUGGUCUGAGAGGAUGAUCAGCCACACUGGAACUGAGACACGGUCCAGACUCCUACGGGAGGCAGCAGUGGGGAAUAUUGGACAAUGGGCGAAAGCCUGAUCCAGCCAUACCGCGUGGGUGAAGAAGGCCUUCGGGUUGUAAAGCCCUGUUGUUGGGAAAGAAAAGCAGCAGGUUAAUACCCCGCUGUUCUGACGGUACCCAAAGAAUAAGCACCGGCUAACUUCGUG
rnacentral:rRNA from 1 species